UACGUAGGGUGCGAGCGUUAAUCGGAAUUACUGGGCGUAAAGCGUGCGCAGGCGGUUGUGCAAGACAGAUGGGAAAUCCCCGGGCUCAACCUGGGAACUGCAUUUGUGACUGCACGGCUGGAGUGCGGCAGAGGGGGAUGGAAUUCCGCGUGUAGCAGUGAAAUGCGUAGAUAUGCGGAGGAACACCGAUGGCGAAGGCAAUCCCCUGGGCCUGCACUGACGCUCAUGCACGAAAGCGUGGGGAGCAAACAGG
rnacentral:rRNA from 1 species